rnacentral:rRNA from 1 species
AGAGUUUGAUCCUGGCUCAGAUUGAACGCUGGCGGCAUGCCUUACACAUGCAAGUCGAACGGUAACAGGGAGCUUGCUCCGCUGACGAGUGGCGAACGGGUGAGUAAUAUAUCGGAACAUAUCCGGAAGUGGGGGAUAACGUAGCGAAAGUUACGCUAAUACCGCAUAUGCCCUGAGGGGGAAAGGGGGGGAUCGCAAGACCUCUCGCUUUCGGAGUGGCCGAUACCGGAUUAGCUUGUUGGUGAGGUAAAGGCUCACCAAGGCGACGAUCCGUAGCUGGUCUGAGAGGACGACCAGCCACACUGGAACUGAGACACGGUCCAGACUCCUACGGGAGGCAGCAGUGGGGAAUUUUGGACAAUGGGCGAAAGCCUGAUCCAGCCAUACCGCGUGAGUGAAGAAGGCCUUCGGGUUGUAAAGCUCUUUCAGCCGGAAAGAAAUUGCACUUCUUAAUACGAAGUGUAGAUGACGGUACCGGAAGAAGAAGCACCGGCUAACUACGUGCCAGCAGCCGCGGUAAUACGUAGGGUGCGAGCGUUAAUCGGAAUUACUGGGCGUAAAGCGUGCGCAGGCGGUUUUUUAAGUCAGAUGUGAAAUCCCCGGGCUCAACCUGGGAACUGCAUUUGAAACUGGAAGACUAGAGUAUAGCAGAGGGAGGUAGAAUUCCACGUGUAGCAGUGAAAUGCGUAGAUAUGUGGAGGAAUACCAAUGGCGAAGGCAGCCUCCUGGGUUAAUACUGACGCUCAUGCACGAAAGCGUGGGGAGCAAACAGGAUUAGAUACCCUGGUAGUCCACGCCCUAAACGAUGUCAACUAGUUGUUGGGGAAGGAGACUUUCUUAGUAACGUAGCUAACGCGUGAAGUUGACCGCCUGGGGAGUACGGUCGCAAGAUUAAAACUCAAAGGAAUUGACGGGGACCCGCACAAGCGGUGGAUUAUGUGGAUUAAUUCGAUGCAACGCGAAAAACCUUACCUACCCUUGACAUGUCAGAAAGAUUGCAAAAAUGUGAUUGUGCCCGAAAGGAAUCUGAACACAGGUGCUGCAUGGCUGUCGUCAGCUCGUGUCUGGAGAUGUUGGGUUAGUCCCGAACGAGCGCACCCUUGGCAUAAUUGCCUCAUUCAGUUGGGACUUUAAUGGAACUGCCGGGAUAAACCGGAGUAAGGUGGGGAUCCGUAAAGUCCUCAUGGCCCUUAUGGUUAGGGUUUCACACGUAAUACAAUUCCGCGUACAGAGGGUUGCCAUCCCGCGAGGGGGAGCUAAUCUCAGAGAGCGAGUCUUAGUCCGGAUUGGAGUCUGAAACUGGAUUCCAUGAUGUCGGAAUCGCUAGUAAUCGCGGAUCAGCAUGUCGCGGUGAAUACGUUCCCGGGUCUUGUACACUCCGCCCGUCUCACCAUGGGAGUGGAAUCUGCCAGAAGUAGGUAGCCUAACCGUAAGGAGGGCGCUUACCACGGUGGGUUUCAUGACUGGGGUGAAGUCGUAACAAGGUAACC